CCCUCAGUAACGGCGAGUGAAGAGGGAAGAGCCCAGCACCGAAGCCUGUGGCCGUUUGGCCCCUAGGCAAUGUGGUGUUCAGGUUGGCUCGCGGGGAUGCUGCUCCACCCUAAGUCCUAAAAUGAGUAAGGUUACUCGGACGUGGCCCAAUGAGGGUGAAAGGCCCGUGGGGGUGGAGAGUCAGAAUGGCCAGUAUCUCCCUGAGCAGACCUUGGAGUCGGGUUGUUUGUGAAUGCAGCCCAAAGCGGGUGGUAAACUCCAUCCAAGGCUAAAUACUAGCACGAGUCCGAUAGCGAACAAGUACCGUGAGGGAAAGUUGAAAAGUACUUUGAAGAGAGAGUAAACAGUGCGUGAAGCCGUUCAGAGGUAAACGGGUGGAGUUGAACUGCAAGCUCUGAGGAUUCAACUGGUAAGAAUGGCGUGAACUUGAUCACGUGGGUUGGUUGCUGUGUCUGCUUAGCUGCAGGUCCUCGCCUCGGUGGGGAUUCGCGUCUAGCUUAUCAAGCUCUGCGUGCACGGUCUUUGACGAGCCCGCUUGCCAGUGCACUUUCUCGGAGUGUUCACCACGACCGGCGUUGCUGUCUGGCUGAUGUGGUUAAACCGGUCUUGUAGGGUCCUUGUGGCCUUGCUUGGUCGGGAUGGCAGGUAGCCCGUUGUGUAUUUAUAUGCUUCGGGUGUAAUAGCCGACUGCAUCGGUUCUGUGCGGUACGUCGGAGACGGCGGCUUGUUGUGCGUGCGGGCGUGCCUGUGUGCUGGCGGCUCUGGGUCUGGUUGCCUUGUUGCUUGCGUAAGCAGGCCAGGUGAUGGCUCGGGGUCGUUUGGUGUGCGGUUGCGUUCGUGGCACUUUGAAGGGCCAACAGUCUGUGGUGUAGUGGUAGACUAUCCACCCGACCCGUCUUGAAACACGGACCAAGGAGAGUAACAUGUGCGCGAGUCAUUGGGCGUUACGAAACCCAAAGGCGUAGUGAAAGUAAAGGUUCGGCUUGUCUGGACUGAGGUGAGAUCCUGCCGUUUCUCACGCAUGGUACUAUCAAGCAUCGAGCGGCGGGCGCAUCACCGGCCCGUCCCAUGACGUAGUGGUGGCUUCGGCUUGCCCAUCGUCGGGGCGGAGCAUGAGCGUACAUGUUGAGACCCGAAAGAUGGUGAACUAUGCUUGCGCAGGUUGAAGCCAGAGGAAACUCUGGUGGA
rnacentral:rRNA from 1 species